GACGAACGCUGGCGGCGUGCUUAACACAUGCAAGUCGAACGGAAGGCCCUGCUUUUGUGGGGUGCUCGAGUGGCGAACGGGUGAGUAACACGUGAGUAACCUGCCUUGAACUUGGGGUUAAUUCAGGAAAAUGGGGCCAAUUACGGAUAAGAACUUCUGCCGCCUGGGGGGGGGUGGGAAGGUUUCGGCGGUUGGGGUUGGACUGGCGCCUAAUCAGCUGGUUGGUGGGGUAGUGGCUUACAAAGGCUUUGACGGGUAGCCGGCCUGAGAGGGUGACCGGCCACAUUGGGCCUGAGAUACGGCCCAGACUCCUACGGGAGGCAGCAGUGGGGAAUAUUGCCCAAUGGGCGGAAGCCUGAUGCAGCAACGCCGCGUGCGGGAUGACGGCCUUCGGGUUGUAACCCGCUUUCGCCUGUGACGAAGCGUGAGUGACGGUAAUGGGUAAAGAAGCACCGGCUAACUACGUG
rnacentral:rRNA from 1 species